UUGAUCCUGGCUCAGGAUGAACGCUAGCUACAGGCUUAACACAUGCAAGUCGAGGGGAAACGACAUCGAAAGCUUGCUUUUGAUGGGCGUCGACCGGCGCACGGGUGAGUAACGCGUAUCCAACCUGCCCACCACUUGGGGAUAACCUUGCGAAAGUAAGACUAAUACCCAAUGACGUCUCUAGAAGACAUCUGAAAGAGAUUAAAGAUUUAUCGGUGAUGGAUGGGGAUGCGUCUGAUUAGCUUGUUGGCGGGGUAACGGCCCACCAAGGCUACGAUCAGUAGGGGUUCUGAGAGGAAGGUCCCCCACAUUGGAACUGAGACACGGUCCAAACUCCUACGGGAGGCAGCAGUGAGGAAUAUUGGUCAAUGGACGAGAGUCUGAACCAGCCAAGUAGCGUGCAGGAUGACGGCCCUAUGGGUUGUAAACUGCUUUUUAUAAGGGGAAUAAAGUGAGUCUCGUGAGACUUUUUUGCAUGUACCUUAUGAAUAAGGACCGGCUAAUUCCGUGCCAGCAGCCGCGGUAAUACGGAAGGUCCGGGCGUUAUCCGGAUUUAUUGGGUUUAAAGGGAGCGUAGGCCGGAGAUUAAGCGUGUUGUGAAAUGUAGACGCUCAACGUCUGCACUGCAGCGCGAACUGGUUUCCUUGAGUACGCACAAAGUGGGCGGAAUUCGUGGUGUAGCGGUGAAAUGCUUAGAUAUCACGAAGAACUCCGAUUGCGAAGGCAGCUCACUGGAGCGCAACUGACGCUGAAGCUCGAAAGUGCGGGUAUCGAACAGGAUUAGAUACCCUGGUAGUCCGCACGGUAAACGAUGGAUGCCCGCUGUUGGUCUGAAUAGGUCAGC
rnacentral:rRNA from 1 species